rnacentral:sRNA from 1 species
UUAUAUCCAGUAACAGGUGUAUUACUC